AUUGGCCAUUGUCUCCUAGGUUUCUUAUAGUCUAGAAUAAAUCAUUUUUCAUUACAUUGACUUUUGACAGGCUGGACCAGAUGUCCUACCCUUUUGGAAUUGUCUAGUUAUUUAUUUGUAGUAUGACAUUUCUUUGUUUUAUUCCUGUAUGUACAUCAAACUUGAAGUUAGAUCUAAAGUGUCAGUCAAUUUAAGUGAAACAUUUUAUAUCUUAGGUAAUGUAUACUUCAUGUUGCAUCUUAUUAGAUGUUUUUAAAGCUUUAUAUACAUAUAAGUUGAAUCUUGUUGACUUUCUCAAAAUCCUGAGGAAUCUGCAGUACAUCAACAUCUCCACAGUAGGUACCAUAAAUGGUUAACAGUUUCUGUAAGGCAACUUUGCACUAGCCUAUUUUGAGCAUAGGACACAACUUUGAAGAUUAAAUCCCAACCAGGGAGUGAUUGGUAGAAGACAACUAGUCAGGGAACAUAGGAGGGAAAUACUUAAUUGCCAUAAUGUGGGUAGAUACCAGUCCACAAAUAAUUCUAAAUUAAGUAUGAAUAUGCUGCUUCAUGUUUGUAGACUCAUAGAUGUUUUGUGUUAUUAGUGGCUGUUCUGGAUUAUAAACUCCCAUGAGACAGGUUAAAAUCAGAAUUUUUUAUUUUUAAUAUUUAUCACUACUGCUUAUAUCCUCACUUUAACCUACCUAAUGCUGUUUCACUCAAAUGUCUUUUCUUUCUUCCCUGUAACAGUUGUGCAGAAGAUUCUGACCUUAUUUGAGGCUUACAUAUAGGUUUGGAGAUGUGGAAAGGAGUGGAAAAAGACAUAUGUAAGCUGAAGUGCCAAACUCACACUGAAAUAAAGGGCAUGGCCUACCAGCUGACAAGGAGUGUCUGGUUUCAGGAUGGCAAAUGACCCUAAACAUGAUAGACAAAUAUUUUUUACAUAGGUACAUGCACAGAUAGGCACAUAGAAAUCCACAUUUGCAAGCAAAAAGUGGAACUUGUAAAGCAGAAUUUCUGAGGAAUCUCUAAAAGACUAAUACUAUAUGGAAUUUGAAGAGGAAACUCAGAGCAGAAGCACAUAGUGAAGUACUGCCACAAAGAUGUGUGAUGCCACUAAAGGUGCUCUAGACCCACAAGAAAGGAAAACUGGGAGCAGGACAACUAUCUGGAUAUUGACUGCACAUGCCAAUAUCUCAGUCAGACUAACAGAAUCAGAGCUUUAGGCAGAGAAAUGAAUGGUUGGAGAGAGAAGGCAAUGCCCAGAUGCCCCGCUUUGAAAUGUCCCGCCCAUCCCCAAAUUAGUCUGAAAAUUUCAAAUGUAGUAUAAAUUCCCUUCCCAUCAAAAGUGUCCCAUAAACAGCAGUGGUAGAACAGUUUUAGUUGAGUAUCACAGCUUCAAUGAUGAGUAUAGAAAACUCCAAAAAUCUCAAUACCAACACUAAAUCAAAAAAGAGGUACAAACCGCAAGUGGAAGAACCAUCUCAAGAAAUAAUGAAGCAUUCAUGGAAUACAGAUUAGCAACUCUUUAAAACAGUUAGUAUUGCCAAGAGAAACAGAUAGCAUUGCAGUUGUCAGAUCUUAUAUCUGAAACAGUUCCACUGUCUUCCAUAACUUUCAUAACUUUGAAUAUUUUGGCUCAUAGGUGAAAGGAAUUGCCUUAUUUCGAAUGAGACUUUGGACUGUGGACUUCUGAGUUAAUGCUGAAAUGAGUUAAGACUUUGAGGACUGCUGGGAAGGCAUGAUUGGUUUUGAAAUGUGAGGACAUGAGAUUUGGGAGGGGUCGGGGUGGAAUGAUAUGGUUUGGCUGUGUCCUCACUCAAAUCUCAUCUUGAAUUCCCACAUGUUGUGGGAGGGAUCGGUGGGAGGUAAUUGAAACGGGGGCAAGUCUUGCUGUUCUUGUGAUAGUGAAUAAGUCUCACAAGAUCUGAUGGUUUUAAAAAGAAGAGUUCCCCUGCACAAGUUCUCUCUCUCUUUGCCUACUGCCAUCUACGUUAAGACAUGACUUGCUCCUCCUUGCCUUCCACCAUGAUUGCAAGGUGUCCCCAGCCAUGUAGAACUGUAAGUCCAUUAAAUCCUUUUUCCUGUAUAAAUUACCCACUUUCAGGUAUGUCUUUAUCAGCGGCAUGAAUAUGGACUAAUACAGAAAUUAAAAUGAUGCCUGACACAUUAUUGCUUAAUAAAUAUUAGCUAUUAUUAUUUGACAUU
rnacentral:antisense_RNA from 1 species